rnacentral:rRNA from 1 species
AUUGAACGCUGGCGGAAUGCUUUACACAUGCAAGUCGAACGGCAGCACGGACUUCGGUCUGGUGGCGAGUGGCGAACGGGUGAGUAAUGUAUCGGAACGUGCCCAGUCGUGGGGGAUAACGUAGUGAAAAUUACGCUAAUACCGCAUACGAUCUAUGGAUGAAAGCGGGGGAUCGCAAGACCACGCGCGAUUGGAGCGGCCGAGAUCAGAUUAGGUAGUUGGUGGGGUAAAGGCCCACCAAGCCAACGAUCUGUAGCUGGUCUGAGAGGACGACCAGCCACACUGGAACUGAGACACGGUCCAGACUCCUACGGGAGGCAGCAGUGGGGAAUUUUGGACAAUGGGCGAAAGCCUGAUCCAGCCAUUCCGCGUGCAGGAUGAAGGCCCUCGGGUUGUAAACUGCUUUUGUACAGAACGAAAAGGUUUCUACUAAUACUAGGAGCUCAUGACGGUACUGUAAGAAUAAGCACCGGCUAACUACGUGCCAGCAGCCGCGGUAA